UUUAACUGAAAAUAAUAAUAAUUUAUUUAAAAAAGUUCUUUAAAAAAAAGGAAAAGAGAGCGCGAGAGAGAGCGUACGGCAAUGGCGAGACUACAAUUAGAUUUGUUUUUUUCUUGGAAUUGUUUCUUUUUUGCAGUUCUUUUAUUCGUAUAAUACAUUGCGAGGUUUUUAUUUUCUCUUAGUUAGUUUAGAUCUGUUAGAUUUGUAUUUUCUUUCUGUCGAUUCUUUAUUUUUUUUUAUGAGAGCAUGGAAAAUUUUUAGCGUUAUUAUUUAAAAAAAAAGGGGUAAAGACACUGGAGGCAGCGGUUCAUCGAUCUCUUCCUGAGAAUUUUGUUGUGAGAAUAACACAAAUACAUGAAUCGAUCGAUAAACCUCUGCAUCCAGCGCCUUAACUCUCUUUUAUUUUAUUUUAUAGAACUUUUUUAAAGUAAUUUUUUCCAUGAAGUUUUAUGGUAGUUAUUAACAAAAUCUGUUUUUUUGGUUGCAGAAAUUCUUUUUUUUUUCUUAAACUAUAGAUCUUGAUAUAAUGAGUAAAUUUUUAUUUUCCAUUACUUCUGUAUAUAUUACCUUUUAGAGUGUUUUUUUUCUUUGUUUUUUUUUUUAAAGAUUUUACUAAGACUAACAAUUAAUGGCGUAAUGUUUGGUGGCUGCAGUGAAGCGGAAGGGGCUACGUUAUCGUUUCCCAGUUGUCGACCCUACCUGGUUACUGAUUAUUUUUCAAAUAAAAGUUGCAACUAUUUAAUCACUAUUUUUUCCCCUAAAAUUUAUGCUAAAUUCAUUAUGCUUUGAUUUUUUUAAUUGAAUAGUGGAUGAAUAAAUAUAGCCAAACUUGGUAUGAGAUUGAAAUCCAUUGGCUGCCUUUUGAUUUCCUUGUUAAUCGGUGAUUUAGUUCCAAAACUAAUUUUAUUGCCUAUUAACUUUUUAUUUUUCUUACUCAUUCGGAAAUUGGUAUUGUAGGUAAAUUCUCUAGCAAAAUGUGAAAACCGGUCUUGGAUUUCUGAAUUCGACGAUCCGAGUUCGGGCAACAUAAAUUUUAAAUAUGGGUUGGGGAUGUUCUUAGUGAUUGUAUGGUAGGAAAAUUUGUCUAAUAAUGUUCUUGAUCUUGUGUUAGUUUUGUAUAUAUAUAUUUUUUACAUUUGAAACACUUAUAACCAAAUUAUUUUUGUUGGUUAGUUACCAGAUUCAGAGUUACAUAUUAUUGUUUAUUUUCUUCUUGGAUUUGUGUAAGUAUCCAUAAUUGCUUUUGAGCUUGGUAUUUAUUGUUAAGGUUCUUAAGUAAGAAAGGGAUUGAUGGAGUUUCCUCCUGGAUGUUUUGCCAUUUAUGGUAUAUAGAAUUGAAUGUGGAUUGUUUCGUUUGAUUGUUUAUUUUAGUUGCAUUCAUCAUGGUUUUAUAGAUUAGCAAUGUUUAGAUCAUGAGCUGGUGUGCGCUGCUUUGGUAGUUCAUAAUGUUGUAAAAAUUCUGAUGAUGACUGAAAGUUUCUAUGACAUGAGAUUCUCCCGGUGGUCUAAACUCCAAACGCCGGUCAGGCUUCCCUCCUAGGUUACAAAUAGUUGAACAUUCACCUACUUGUACUCCAAAUAGUGGAACUUUACCGGGGAGUAAUAGGCAAUUAAUUUGCAGCCAUUUGUGUCAUUUUCCCUGAGCAUGAUGAAGUCAAAACCCAAAAAAGUUUGUUUCUUUGUAGAAAAAGUUAUCUGAUGAAAUGAAGUUACUAAGUGGGGGGACACAUCUUCGUCAUUGCGGCGUGAAAGUGAGGGAAAACUACUGGUACAGCUAGCAAGUUGUGAAAGAAUCUGCUGUUUUCAUGUGAACAAAUGGAAUCUGGUGUCAAAAUCCUAUCUAUCAAACCUAUAAUGGAAAUCAAAUCAAGUUAAAUACCUUCCUUGGGCUUCUAGUUUUACCAAGUACCAACCAAAAAGGGUGGGUCUUGUUACUCGGAUUGUCAUGUGUGUUAGAUAUGGGUAUACGGCCGAAGUAAGUAUUACUCUUUUGUUUUUUUGGAGGGUUCUUAAGGAUUUUAUCUUAACACUAACUAUUAGAAAAACGAAGAGUCUGAGUAACGUAAGUUAUGGGAGCGUGGGUAUGAGCUCCAAAAGAGAAGGAAAGAAUUCCAGAGGGAACAUAUGCAAGGUGAGUAUAUUCUUUUAUUGUUGUCUUAUCUUAUUCAUUGUUAGGUUGUAAUUUUUUUGCACCUGUUGUACUUGAUAUUCUAACGUCAUUCCAAUGGGAAAAGAAAGGGAAUCCCUUUUCAUUUUGUCA